rnacentral:rRNA from 1 species
AACGAACGCUGGCGGCAUGCCUAACACAUGCAAGUCGAACGAGACCUUCGGGUCUAGUGGCGCACGGGUGCGUAACGCGUGGGAACCUGCCCUUAGGUUCGGAAUAACUCCCCGAAAGGGGUGCUAAUACCGGAUAAUGUCUUCGGACCAAAGAUUUAUCGCCUUUGGAUGGGCCCGCGUUGGAUUAGCUAGUUGGUAGGGUAAAAGCCUACCAAGGCGACGAUCCAUAGCUGGUCUGAGAGGAUGAUCAGCCACACUGGGACUGAGACACGGCCCAGACUCCUCCGGGAGGAAGCAGUGGGGAAUAUUGGACAAUGGGCGAAAGACUGAUCCAGCAAUGCCGCGUGAGUGAUGAAGGCCUUAGGGUUGUAAAGCUCUUUUAUCCGGGAUGAUAAUGACAGUACCGGGAGAAUAAGCUCCGGCUAACUCCGUG